CUGAGCUGGGUGAGGGCCUCUGUGGUUUGCUGGCUGCCUCAGCUCCUCUCUACCCACAG
ensembl:miRNA